rnacentral:lncRNA from 1 species
AAGAAUACUGGAGUGUGUUGCCAUUUUCUUCUCCAGGGGAUCUUCCUGAUGCAGAGAUUGAAUCCACAUCUCCUGCACUGCAGGUGGAUCCUUUACCACUGAACCAUGGAGGGAUCCAGAGAGACUCAAUGCUAGAAUAUUCUAGCAAAUCAGACGGCAUGAAAGAGGUUCAUCAAAAAAGUAUUUGGCUGGGGGACAAAUGGCUCUUUUCCACAAUUAAAGAGCUGAAAGCACAAUAUUGGUGGUGUCAGAUCAGUAAGGAGACAUGGAGAACAACGGAUCAACAUCUCCUCAUAAUAAUCCCCUGAACACCUGAAGACAGCUGUGAGCGCUUAAAGAUUUGCUGAGGCUAAUCUGAACACAGGUAAUUGAGUGGAUGAUAUGUUCAAAGGUGCAGAAACCUGUAUUUGGCACAUGUGUUGUGUAUUAGGGCACCUCACACUUCUCUUCACCCCUUAGAAACUGGAGUGGUGGGUCUUGUCUGCACACAGUUAGGGGAUGAGUCUCCUUUUUCUGAGCAGAAAGCUGAGGAGGAGGACAAUACAGGCAGGGCCCGAGAGACGCCAUGUGCGUGGCAGCCUGCUGGUUCACACGAAGAGCUAAACUCAGGAAGUGA